rnacentral:rRNA from 1 species
AGGCGAGGCCGAAAGGCGUAGUCGAUGGGAAACGGGUUAAUAUUCCCGUACUUGGUGUUACUGCGAAGGGGGGACGGAGAAGGCUAUGUUGGCCGGGCGACGGUAGUCCCGGUUUAAGCGUGUAGGUGUGUGUUCCAGGUAAAUCCGGUUCACUUUAACACUGAGGCGUGAUGACGAGGCACCACGGUGCUGAAGCAACAAAUGCCCUGCUUCCAGGAAAAGCCUCUAAGCAUCAGGUAACAUCAAAUCGUACCCCAAACCGACACAGGUGGUCAGGUAGAGAAUACCAAGGCGCUUGAGAGAACUCGGGUGAAGGAACUAGGCAAAAUGGUGCCGUAACUUCGGGAGAAGGCACGCUGACACGUAGGUGAAGUGAUUUACUCAUGGAGCUGAAGUCAGUCGAAGAUACCAGCUGGCUGCAACUGUUUAUUAAAAACACAGCACUGUGCAAACACGAAAGUGGACGUAUACGGUGUGACGCCUGCCCGGUGCCGGAAGGUUAAUUGAUGGGGUCAGCGCAAGCGAAGCUCCUGAUCGAAGCCCCGGUAAACGGCGGCCGUAACUAUAACGGUCCUAAGGUAGCGAAAUUCCUUGUCGGGUAAGUUCCGACCUGCACGAAUGGCGUAAUGAUGGCCAGGCUGUCUCCACCCGAGACUCAGUGAAAUUGAACUCGCUGUGAAGAUGCAGUGUACCCGCGGCAAGACGGAAAGACCCCGUGAACCUUUACUAUAGCUUGACACUGAACAUUGAGCCUUGAUGUGUAGGAUAGGUGGGAGGCUUUGAAGCGUGGACGCCAGUCUGCGUGGAGCCGACCUUGAAAUACCACCCUUUAAUGUUUGAUGUUCUAACGUGGACCCGUAAUCCGGGUUGCGGACAGUGUCUGGUGGGUAGUUUGACUGGGGCGGUCUCCUCCUAAAGAGUAACGGAGGAGCACGAAGGUUGGCUAAUCCUGGUCGGACAUCAGGAGGUUAGUGCAAUGGCAUAAGCCAGCUUGACUGCGAGCGUGACGGCGCGAGCAGGUGCGAAAGCAGGUCAUAGUGAUCCGGUGGUUCUGAAUGGAAGGGCCAUCGCUCAACGGAUAAAAGGUACUCCGGGGAUAACAGGCUGAUACCGCCCAAGAGUUCAUAUCGACGGCGGUGUUUGGCACCUCGAUGUCGGCUCAUCACAUCCUGGGGCUGAAGUAGGUCCCAAGGGUAUGGCUGUUCGCCAUUUAAAGUGGUACGCGAGCUGGGUUUAGAACGUCGUGAGACAGUUCGGUCCCUA